AGUGAACGCUGGCGGCAGGCCUAACACAUGCAAGUCGAGCGGCAGCGGGUUCCCGCGAGGGGAUGCCGGCGAGCGGCGGACGGGUGAGGAACACAUCGGAAUCUGCCUGGUUGUGGGGGAUAACGUAGGGAAACUUACGCUAAUACCGCAUGAGACCCUGAGUCGACGGACUGGGGGUGAAAGUGAGGGACCUUCGGGCCUCACGCGACCAGAUGAGCCGAUGUCGGAUUAGCUAGUUGGCGGGGUAACGGCCCGCCAAGGCGACGAUCCGUAGCUGGUCUGAGAGGAUGAUCGGCCACACUGGAACUGAGACACGGUCCAGACUCCUACGGGAGGCAGCAGUGGGGAAUCUUGCGCAAUGGGCGAAAGCCUGACGCAGCGACGCCGCGUGGGGGA
rnacentral:rRNA from 1 species